GACGAACGCUGGCGGCGUGCUUAACACAUGCCAGUCGAACGGAAAGGCCCUGCUUUUGUGGGGUGCUCGAGUGGCGAACGGGUGAGUAACACGUGAGUAACCUGCCCUUGACUUUGGGAUAACUUCAGGAAACUGGGGCUAAUACCGGAUAGGAGCUCCUGCUGCAUGGUGGGGGUUGGAAAGUUUCGGCGGUUGGGGAUGGACUCGCGGCUUAUCAGCUUGUUGGUGGGGUAGUGGCUUACCAAGGCUUUGACGGGUAGCCGGCCUGGGAGGGUGACCGGCCACAUGGGAACUGGGAUACGGCCCAGACUCCUACGGGGGGCAGCAGUGGGGAAUAUGGCACAAGGGGCGGAAGCCUGAUGCAGCAACGCCGCGUGCGGGAUGACGGCCUUCGGGUUGUAACCGCUUUCGCCUGUGACGAAGCGUGAGUGACGGUAAUGGGUAAAGAAGCACCGGCUAACUACGUG
rnacentral:rRNA from 1 species